UAAUACAGAGGUGGCUAGCGUUGUUCGGAAUUACUGGGCGUAAAGGGCGCGUAGGCGGCUUGGUCAGUCCCGUGUGAAAUCCCUCGGCUCAACUGAGGAACUGCACGGGAAACUGCCUGGCUUGAGUUCGGGAGAGGGAAGCGGAAUUCCGGGUGUAGCGGUGAAAUGCGUAGAUAUCCGGAGGAACACCGGUGGCGAAGGCGGCUUCCUGGACCGACACUGACGCUGAGGCGCGAAAGCUAGGGGAGCAAACGG
rnacentral:rRNA from 1 species